GUUGGUUGGAGAGAAUAAAAUGACAGAACUUGAGGAACAAUAACUUCACUUCUAUUGCCACGAGCGCACAAAACAUUCAAGAUUCACACAUCUGAUACUUGACUGAAACUGUGUCAGAGCACUUGGAGCCUAAGGUUUGGACUUGUAACCAGACAGUACCACAAACAGGACCACAUGGCUUCCUUUCCUCCUCUAUAUAAGUUCUAAAACUGGCCUAGAUGCAGACCAAAUGGACCCCACUACCAUCACAUGACACAAUCAGUCCCAAUCUUGGCCCAAUCACUUUUGUCUCCUCCACCCUGGCUGACGUGAAUGGCAGGACUGGGGCUAUGACCCUGGCCCUGCCGGGAGCUGACCAAAGUUUGGAUUUAACAGUAUAUACCUAAGACACUCUGGAAAGUAUUAAGAACUGGUGUGUCACUGAAAUAAAUGUUCUCCCCUUGGGUGCUGCAAUCUC